rnacentral:rRNA from 1 species
GACGUAGGGUCCAAGCGUUGUCCGGAUUUACUGGGCGUAAAGAGCGCGUAGGCGGUCUUGUAAGUGUGAAGUGAAAUCUCCCAGGGCUCAACCCGGAAACUGCUUUACAUACUGCAAGACUGGAGGGAUGCAGAGGUUUGUGGAAUUCCUGGUGUAACGGUGAAAUGUGUUGAUAUCAGGAGGAACACCCAUGGCGAAGGCAGCAAACUGGGCAUCAGUCUGACGCUGAGGCGCGAAACGAUGGGUAGCAACG